AUUGAACGCUGGCGGAAUGCUUUACACAUGCAAGUCGAACGGCAGCACGGACUUCGGUCUGGUGGCGAGUGGCGAACGGGUGAGUAAUGUAUCGGAACGUGCCCAGUCGUGGGGGAUAACGUAGCGAAAAUUACGCUAAUACAGCAUACGAUCUAUGGAUGAAAGCGGGGGAACGCAAGACUGCGCGCGGUUGGCGCGCCCGAUAUCAGACUAGGUAGCUGGUGGGGCAAAGGACCACCAAGCCAACGAUCUGUAGCUGGUCUGAGAGGACGACCAGCCACACUGGAACUGAGACACGGUCCAGACUCCUACGGGAGGCAGCAGUGGGGAAUUUUGGACGAUGGGCGAAAGCCUGAUCCAGCCAUUCCGCGUGCAGGAUGAAGGCCCUCGGGUUGUAAACUGCUUUUGUACAGAACGAAAAGGUUUCUACUAAUACUAGGAGCUCAUGACGGUACUGUAAGAAUAAGCACCGGCUAACUACGUGCCAGCAGCCGCCGUAA
rnacentral:rRNA from 1 species